rnacentral:lncRNA from 1 species
AGAGGAAGCAGGUACCGGAGCAUAGAGAGGCUAAAUCGGGACCAUUCCCGGAACCUUGUGAUCCCUUCUGGGCAAUGGAAGGCCGUGACACCCCCUGGGUCCUCAUGACUGACAGCUCCGAAUACUGGCAGUCGCUCGUCAGUGCUGAAAAGCACCUCGGUGCCUGCACAUUAGCUCGUUAAUUGGAAGGCCUGCCGAUGGUCUUCAUCAGGGGUGAUUCCUAAUGAAAAAAUACGAAAUAUUGGAAUCUCAGCUCACAUUGAUUCUGGGAAAACUACAUUAACAGAACGAGUCCUUUACUACACUGGCAGAAUUGCAAAGAUGCAUGAGGUGAAAGGUAAAGAUGGAGUUGGUGCUGUCAUGGAUUCCAUGGAACUAGAGAGACAAAGAGGAAUCACUAUUCAGUCAGCAGCCACUUACACCAUGUGGAAAGAUGUCAAUAUUAACAUUAUAGAUACUCCUGGGCAUGUGGACUUCACAAUAGAAGUGGAAAGGGCCCUGA